UUGCAGCACAAACACACCUUUGACCAUGAUUAACACACAUUGAAUCAAGUUCAUCCCAUAGACCUUUUAGCUUAUUAAAAUACGAAGCUAUAUCUAAGGACCCUUGAGAGGUGUAGGACAACUCUCUUUUCAAUUCAAAGAUUUUGGUUCUGUUUGUAGUGCCAUAUCUGGCCUGGAGUUGGGAACAUAUACUCUGUGCAGUGUCAGAGUACCGUACGGAUUCAGCAAUUGCAGGGGAGAGGGAAGGAGUCAACCAAGAAAUCACCAUGUUGUUGCACCUAUCCCACAACCUUUGUUGAGCCACAUUAGUNNN
rnacentral:lncRNA from 1 species